rnacentral:piRNA from 1 species
CAUGGCAAAAUGCAUGGUGCAC